rnacentral:tRNA from 1 species
UGUGGUAUAGCUCAGGGGCAGAGUGCAUGCUUAGCAUGCAUGAGGUCCUGGGUUCAAUCCCCAGCACCUCCA